UACAGAGGGUGCGAGCGUUGUUCGGAAUUACUGGGCGUAAAGCGCGUGUAGGCUGCUUGGAAAGUCGGAUGUGAAAGCCCUGGGCUUAACCCAGGAAGUGCACUCGAAACUUCCAAGCUUGAGUCCUGGAGAGGGUGGCGGAAUUCUCGGUGUAGAGGUGAAAUUCGUAGAUAUCGAGAGGAACACCGGUGGCGAAGGCGGCUACCUGGACAGUGACUGACGCUGAGACGCGAAAGCGUGGGGAGCAAACAGG
rnacentral:rRNA from 1 species